AAGCCUAUAAAAAGACCAAUCAAGAGAAGUAAAUGAUGUGAAUUUGCAUAGUAUCAUGACUAUUGAUUUGCCAUAAAUGCCAAGCAGCUAUAAAACAGCUAUCAAAAGAAGAAAAUGCUGUGUAUUGGAAUAGUAUCUUGAACCAUUGCUUUGCCAUAAAUGCACAGAGUAGUACACCCCAAAAAACAGAAAAAAGGAAAAAGGGAAAAAACCCAGCGCUGUGCUAUAAAACUGUGUAUUGAAUCUUCCCGUCAUCCUUUACUUGCUCCGAAAAAAGCUGUAACUAUAUCUGCACAAUCCCUGGGUUUUGUUCUUCAGCAAAAUUAGCAGGCCUCCAAAAGGUUCUUGCAGUACCUGGAUUGGUUAGCUAGCAUGAUUGCAAACAAGAAACCUCGAACUUCCUAUGCUGAUAUCCCACAAGAUACCAAAGAUCGGCGCAAUCAACGUCGUAGAGAAUUAAAUGGUAAUCUUCCAGCAGCAGUCAGGGCCAAGCGGAAUGAACAGCGUAAGCUUGUGUACGCUGAAUCCCCAGACACAUAUUCUAAUCUUCCACAGUCUAUCAAAGACAAGCGCAAUGAAUGCCGUAAACAAUUACGCUUACAGAAAAAAAAAAGAACAGCGCAGAAUCAACAAGACCAAUUUGCUCUACAAAUAGGUCUGGAAACUUCUGGCAAAAUAUGAUACGUACCAUGGUUCCAACACAAACAGUUCAUCCAACCAACUCAGAAGUUGUGACUGAGCCAUUACCAGUUGCGACAAUUUCGACAGAUGAAAAUGCCACAAAAACCUUGGUGGCAGGUGUGAUUACCAAGGUUUCUCAGGCUUUUGUUCAUUGUUGUGCUACCAGUACACAUGAAAUAGGUAACUUAAUGUUUUGAGUGGGAUUUCUUUAUAGCAUAGUAAUAAAACAUGUAUGGAAUUUCCCAGUCCCAUCUUCAACUUUCGAAUAAAUGACAGACCUUCUAACUCUAUUCGAUUUCAGGUUCAAGCUCAUGCGCAACAGUUGCAGCCGCAAAAAGAUCCAGUAUAUUUAUAAAACUUAAACUCAAGUAUUUGUUCAUACCAGGGGAUUACCCGCCCGACAACUAAUAGUUCCGUUCUCUCGUGUUUUGCUAAUAUAGGGAAAGGAAAUACAAAUGGCCAACAUGUACCUGUACGUCGACGUCCAGUACCAACCAAACCAUUUGUGUUGCCGAGCGUACCUCAGUGUGUUCAUUGUCAUGCCAAACGCUUCCCAUUUGAACCUGAUGGUUUUUGCUGCUCCAAGGGUCAAGUCUCCCUCUAUCCUUUGUGUACUUUGGAUAAGCUACUAAACCUGUAUCGAGAUUCUUCAAAAUUAUCCAAAGAUUUCCGAACACAUAUUCGUCCUUACAACAAUAUGUUCGCUUUCACUUCAUUCGGUGUAACUCUCGACCCGCAGUACACCAAAAACCACCAAGGGAUCUACACGUUCCGUGCUCAAGGUCAAAUCUACCACUUCCUCCACACUCUAUACCCUGCAGAUGGGAAGCCAUCCUACCUUCAGCUGUACUUCUACAACAC